GGUGCUAAACAAAGUGUAAAUAUUAAUCUAACAUAGUUGAAUAAUAUUCCAUUUAACAAAUGCAUUUUUCAAGGUGAAAAAACAUAAAUGUGGUGGUAAAAUGCCUGGGAAUGGCCAUAGUUACUCAGGUGAGUGUUGUGGUUCAUGGGCCUCUUGUUGAUGUUGGAAUAUAAAUGACCUGUGAAUGUUUGAAGACCCAAACAUGCAUAAACAAGUGUACUUUUUUCACAAUGUAGACUAUCUGACAUUGAAUAAUUAUGUAUUCCUAGUAAUAAAUAUUUUUUGAUCAAAUAAAAGCUGAAUACAUAGCAAAAUACCAGUACAUUGUAAUAAGCAUAACAGUUAUUGCAUCAUACCCUAUACUGUUAUCAAAGCACAACCUCAAGGGGUAAGGUUCAGACCACCUAAUUUUAAAACUUCAAUAAUGAACUGAUUUCUGUUUUUCUGUAGCCAAAGUGUUCAUAUGAGAAAAAGAAAAUAAAGGGGGAGACAUAACAGUAUAUCAUUUUGAAGAAAAAGUUGUCUUGAAAAAGCCAUUUUUCUAAUCUAAUUUCUGCUUUCUAUAAUUUAGAACCCAGAGGUAGAACUUGCAAUGAAGAUGGAAGUUUUCAUUUGUCAUGUAUGACAACAUAGAUUUCAAUUUGCCGAGGGAGCUAUUGCCCUGCUCAGCAGCUUGACUGUUCAAGCUUUUAAAUUGAGGAUAAUCAUUUAGAUUAUAUCCACUGUUGCAUCCUCUGUGGUUGAACCAAUGAAGCCUAUCAACUAAGAACCAGGAGUCCUUGAAGAAAUCUGGAUACCUGUUCAGGCAGUAGGAUCUUACCAUGCUCACAAAAAAGACAAAAAACACCGGGCAGCAGACUGGGAUGGCCUUUUGACCUCUUUGUACAUUCCUGUUGUUCCUUUUUGCCAUGUUUCAUGUCCAUGUCAUAUAUUCCCCUGGAUCUGAUUGGGGAAAGUGCCGGGAAAAAGCUGUCUCUAAAUUGGCUUGUGUCUGGAGAGCAGGAAUCUAGUAGUUGUGAACUUGGAGGGUAACUGGAUUCUGCCAGGGUUAUGUGCAUGUUUGUUCCAUUGCUUACUGAAUCUAAAAUAAGUGACAAGUGAACCCUGAAAAAGG